UGGACUUGCUCCUUUCUAGGACUGCAGAGAUAGCAGCAGCCCUUGCCUUGGUUUUAGGAGUGUCUGACAAAAAGACACCAGGGUUGAGAGUGAAGGAUGAAUGAUGUGCUUGUUCCUUUACUUGUUUUCUUUCAUUUCAGAUUGUUGAGCUGGUCACCAGGUUCAUCUGCUCCUGCUCUCAGACCCAGGCUUGUGCAACCAGAGAUUAUGUGGGAGUCCGCACAGACAGGAGCUGUGCUGCAGCAGUUUGAGAAUCUGGCAGUAUAUUGCAGUCUUUUAUAUUUCUGGUGUUUUGAGUGGCUCACAGUAAGCUGUUGUUACAAUACAGAACAAGCAGAAGAAACUCUUCAUUCAUAACUGUUCUACAGUGAAAAUUCUGAAGGCUUACAUGCAGAUGACUGAUGCUUGCCUGCUUUGAGGUGCUGCAAGAUGUUAAACUACCUGAGAUCACAUAAUAUCUCCGAUGCUAAAGGAAAGGCCACAGUUGUCUUGACCCUGCAAUGAGUUUCAUCAAGAGAGCAGAGGAGCCUUUACUAAAUAUCCUGGAUCAUGUCAUAAGGGACGCAUCACAUCAGCAAUAACAAGGCACGGUAGCAAUAUGUCUGAAGGUUACAAAGGUGUAAGUCAAGUCCAGAACCUUCUAUUACCUGUUGUGAUAGGUGGCCUCUGGCCUAAAAACAUUGCCACCUGCAAACCAGGGAGAAUAUUUUCUUCUUAGAUUAGACGUGUACUCCAAAAAUGUAAGUGAAGUAAAGCAUUAAGAAUCACAAAUGUCCACCCAGAAAGAAAACAGGAAUGAGAGAGACAGAGUGAUCACCGAAUGUAAACUGUAUUUCAGUUCCUAAUCCUGGAGUUAAAUCCUUUCAGGCUUCUGCAGUCAACCCACAAAUAUGUCUUUGGAAGAUCAGACUUAGAACUGGAUGCCUCAGUAACAGGAAAGAGGUGUAAUCUAAACUGCAUUGUGCAGAUUUCCAGUGCUAGCUGUAUGAAUUAGUGCAGAUUAAAGCUGUCUAACUCUUGGCUUUGACAAGCAGAAGUUAGGUUUUACAAAAUACAUGUUGAAAUUCAGUGUGCAUGUGAUAAAAACCACACUUAUUGAACAAACCGGUAUGUUUUGAAAGGUGAAUCUUAUCUCACACGAGCAGAUGACAUGGAUUUAAAUCUUCAGCUCUAUUUAGAUCCCAAAUGAUAGACUAAUCUUGACUGUGAAAUAUUUCAGUCACUUAGAAAACAGUAAAAGGGAAAUAAAUCACAAGGCAGCUGCA
rnacentral:lncRNA from 1 species